ACCAGUGUUUUCCUAGGUGAAAGGGUAAUUAUUUUGCUGUUAGUUCUUAAUUUAUUAAUAGUCAGCACCAAAUGUUAGGGUAAAGGAUUAUUCCAAACACAGUGACAGAUCAACUGUGUGGAAGAUGUAGUGAUUUUGCUGCUGAUAAGAAAAGCUAUUAGUGUAAAGAUAAAGGUCAGUUUGGAAUCUGAAUGCCAUUGACUGGCAUUUAAGAGAAAAUGAAGAGUGAAAUGAAACUCAGUACUGGUAUAACCUGGUACAAGUAUAUAGAGGGCUGCCUUCUCCGGUCUUCUAUCAGCAAGUGAACUUCAUUCUCUAACUAGAAGGUCAAUGAACCAUGAAUUAAAGAGUCUCCUAAAUAGGUCCUGACAAGACUGCUACUUCUGUAAAAGAGCCAUUACCAUCCUUCAGGUUAGCGACUUGCUAACAACGAAUCCCCAAGGAAGUGGUCUGACAUGGCUGCAAGUGCAAGGCUUGGUGAAGAAUAUAAAAAUACAAAUGACCAUUACUGAAUAAUGAUAAGGUACACCUGUGGUCAUCUCUGCUGGGGGAAGAUGGGGGCUAGCAAAACUCGAAUGUGGAAGAGCAGAGUGCUUCAAUGGGUGGAGGAGGUCAACUGUUACGAGUAAGCUGAAACGCCUGUCUUGGAUUUUGUUAGCUCAGGACUGAUAGCCCAUCCUAUUUUAACAGGUGUUGUACUGUCUUUACAGGCAGUGGAAGCAAUGACCAGGCCAUAUUUCUGUCACAAGAACCAGUCAAGUGGUGAGUUGUCAUUUUCACAUUAAGUGGAAAUUUCCAUAGAGAGAUCAAAAGAUUCAGGGAGCGCAAACCAGCUGCUUGUCUCCACUGGCUGACUUUCUUGGUCAGAA
rnacentral:lncRNA from 1 species